UUUUUUCCCUUUUCUGUGGAGUCGAUGGACGAAGAUUCUGCUGCGGAUCGGGUUAAGGGGCCCUGGAGCCCCAAGGAAGAUCAGAUGUUGCAGAAACUAGUGCAACAACACGGGGCGCGAAACUGGUCGUUGAUAUCGAAAUUUAUUCAUGGUCGAUCAGGGAAAUCUUGCCGUUUGCGGUGGUGCAAUCAGCUGUCACCGGAAGUAGAGCGCCGACCUUUUACUCUUGAAGAAGACAAGGUCAUCGUCAAUGCCCAUGCGAAAUACGGCAACAAGUGGGCCACUAUAGCACGGCUCCUUAAUGGCCGCACGGAUAACGCGAUCAAGAAUCACUGG
rnacentral:misc_RNA from 1 species